UACGGGAGGCAGCAGUGAGGAAUAUUGGACAAUGGGCGCAAGCCUGAUCCAGCCAUGCCGCGUGCAGGAUGACGGUCCUAUGGAUUGUAAACUGCUUUUGUACAGGAAGAAACACCUCUACGUGUAGAGACUUGACGGUACUGUAAGAAUAAGGAUCGGCUAACUCCGUGCCAGCAGCCGCGGUAAUA
rnacentral:rRNA from 1 species